GAUUAAGUUAUUAAGGGCGCACGGUGGAUGCCUUGGCACUAGAAGCCGAUGAAGGACGUUACUAACGACGAUAUGCUUUGGGGAGCUGUAAGUAAGCUUUGAUCCAGAGAUUUCCGAAUGGGGAAACCCAGCAUGAGUUAUGUCAUGUUAUCGAUAUGUGAAUACAUAGCAUAUCAGAAGGCACACCCGGAGAACUGAAACAUCUUAGUACCCGGAGGAAGAGAAAGAAAAUUCGAUUCCCUUAGUAGCCGGCGAGCGAAACGGGAAGAGCCCAAACCAACAAGCUUGCUUGUUGGGGUUGUAGGACACUCUAUACGGAGUUACAAAGGACGACAUUAGACGAAUCAUCUGGAAAGAUGAAUCAAAGAAGGUAAUAAUCCUGUAGUCGAAAAUGUUGUCUCUCUUGAGUGGAUCCUGAGUACGACGGAGCACGUGAAAUUCCGUCGGAAUCUGGGAGGACCAUCUCCUAAGGCUAAAUACUCUCUAGUGACCGAUAGUGAACCAGUACCGUGAGGGAAAGGUGAAAAGCACCCCGGAAGGGGAGUGAAAUAGAACCUGAAACCGUGUGCUUACAAGUAGUCAGAGCCCGUUAAUGGGUGAUGGCGUGCCUUUUGUAGAAUGAACCGGCGAGUUACGAUUUGAUGCAAGGUUAAGCAGUAAAUGUGGAGCCGUAGCGAAAGCGAGUCUGAAUAGGGCGUUUAGUAUUUGGUCGUAGACCCGAAACCAGGUGAUCUACCCUUGGUCAGGUUGAAGUUCAGGUAACACUGAAUGGAGGACCGAACCGACUUACGUUGAAAAGUGAGCGGAUGAACUGAGGGUAGCGGAGAAAUUCCAAUCGAACCUGGAGAUAGCUGGUUCUCUCCGAAAUAGCUUUAGGGCUAGCCUCAAGUGAUGAUUAUUGGAGGUAGAGCACUGUUUGGACGAGGGGCCCCUCUCGGGUUACCGAAUUCAGACAAACUCCGAAUGCCAAUUAAUUUAACUUGGGAGUCAGAACAUGGGUGAUAAGGUCCGUGUUCGAAAGGGAAACAGCCCAGACCACCAGCUAAGGUCCCAAAAUAUAUGUUAAGUGGAAAAGGAUGUGGCGUUGCCCAGACAACUAGGAUGUUGGCUUAGAAGCAGCCAUCAUUUAAAGAGUGCGUAAUAGCUCACUAGUCGAGUGACACUGCGCCGAAAAUGUACCGGGGCUAAACAUAUUACCGAAGCUGUGGAUUGUCCUUUGGACAAUGGUAGGAGAGCGUUCUAAGGGCGUUGAAGCAUGAUCGUAAGGACAUGUGGAGCGCUUAGAAGUGAGAAUGCCGGUGUGAGUAGCGAAAGACGGGUGAGAAUCCCGUCCACCGAUUGACUAAGGUUUCCAGAGGAAGGCUCGUCCGCUCUGGGUUAGUCGGGUCCUAAGCUGAGGCCGACAGGCGUAGGCGAUGGAUAACAGGUUGAUAUUCCUGUACCACCUAUAAUCGUUUUAAUCGAUGGGGGGGACGCAGUAGGAUAGGCGAAGCGUGCGAUUGGAUUGCACGUCUAAGCAGUAAGGCUGAGUAUUAGGCAAAUCCGGUACUCAUUAAGGCUGAGCUGUGAUGGGGAGAAGACAUUGUGUCUUCGAGUCGUUGAUUUCACACUGCCGAGAAAAGCCUCUAGAUAGAAAAUAGGUGCCCGUACCGCAAACCGACACAGGUAGUCAAGAUGAGAAUUCUAAGGUGAGCGAGCGAACUCUCGUUAAGGAACUCGGCAAAAUGACCCCGUAACUUCGGGAGAAGGGGUGCUCUUUAGGGUUAACGCCCAGAAGAGCCGCAGUGAAUAGGCCCAAGCGACUGUUUAUCAAAAACACAGGUCUCUGCUAAACCGUAAGGUGAUGUAUAGGGGCUGACGCCUGCCCGGUGCUGGAAGGUUAAGAGGAGUGGUUAGCUUCUGCGAAGCUACGAAUCGAAGCCCCAGUAAACGGCGGCCGUAACUAUAACGGUCCUAAGGUAGCGAAAUUCCUUGUCGGGUAAGUUCCGACCCGCACGAAAGGCGUAACGAUUUGGGCACUGUCUCAACGAGAGACUCGGUGAAAUCAUAGUACCUGUGAAGAUGCAGGUUACCCGCGACAGGACGGAAAGACCCCGUGGAGCUUUACUGUAGCCUGAUAUUGAAAUUCGGCACAGCUUGUACAGGAUAGGUAGGAGCCUUUGAAACGUGAGCGCUAGCUUACGUGGAGGCGCUGGUGGGAUACUACCCUAGCUGUGUUGGCUUUCUAACCCGCACCACUUAUCGUGGUGGGAGACAGUGUCAGGCGGGCAGUUUGACUGGGGCGGUCGCCUCCUAAAAGGUAACGGAGGCGCUCAAAGGUUCCCUCAGAAUGGUUGGAAAUCAUUCAUAGAGUGUAAAGGCAUAAGGGAGCUUGACUGCGAGACCUACAAGUCGAGCAGGGUCGAAAGACGGACUUAGUGAUCCGGUGGUUCCGCAUGGAAGGGCCAUCGCUCAACGGAUAAAAGCUACCCCGGGGAUAACAGGCUUAUCUCCCCCAAGAGUUCACAUCGACGGGGAGGUUUGGCACCUCGAUGUCGGCUCAUCGCAUCCUGGGGCUGUAGUCGGUCCCAAGGGUUGGGCUGUUCGCCCAUUAAAGCGGUACGCGAGCUGGGUUCAGAACGUCGUGAGACAGUUCGGUCCCUAUCCGUCGUGGGCGUAGGAAAUUUGAGAGGAGCUGUCCUUAGUACGAGAGGACCGGGAUGGACAUACCUCUGGUGUACCAGUUGUCGUGCCAACGGCAUAGCUGGGUAGCUAUGUGUGGACGGGAUAAGUGCUGAAAGCAUUUAAGCAUGAAGCCCCCCUCAAGAUGAGAUUUCCCAACUUCGGUUAUAAGAUCCCUCAUAGAUGAUGAGGUUAAUAGGUUCGAGGUGGAAGCAUGGUGACAUGUGGAGCUGACGAAUACUAAUCGAUCGAAGACUUAAUCAA
rnacentral:rRNA from 1 species